GCUUAUGCGUUGUUGGGUAGGGGAGCGUUCUGUAAGCCUGUGAAGGUGUGUCGUGAGGCAUGCUGGAGGUAUCAGAAGUGCGAAUGCUGACAUAAGUAACGAUAAAGCGGGUGAAAAGCCCGCUCGCCGGAAGACCAAGGGUUCCUGUCCAACGUUAAUCGGGGCAGGGUGAGUCGACCCCUAAGGCGAGGCCGAAAGGCGUAGUCGAUGGGAAACGGGUUAAUAUUCCCGUACUUGGUGUUACUGCGAAGGGGGGACGGAGAAGGCUAUGUUGGCCGGGCGACGGUUGUCCCGGUUUAAGCGUGUAGGUGUGUGUUCCAGGUAAAUCCGGUUCACUUUAACACUGAGGCGUGAUGACGAGGCACUACGGUGCUGAAGUAACAAAUGCCCUGCUUCCAGGAAAAGCCUCUAAGCAUCAGGUAACAUCAAAUCGUACCCCAAACCGACACAGGUGGUCAGGUAGAGAAUACCAAGGCGCUUGAGAGAACUCGGGUGAAGGAACUAGGCAAAAUGGUGCCGUAACUUCGGGAGAAGGCACGCUGACACGUAGGUGAAGUGAUUUACUCAUGGAGCUGAAGUCAGUCGAAGAUACCAGCUGGCUGCAACUGUUUAUUAAAAACACAGCACUGUGCAAACACGAAAGUGGACGUAUACGGUGUGACGCCUGCCCGGUGCCGGAAGGUUAAUUGAUGGGGUCAGCGCAAGCGAAGCUCCUGAUCGAAGCCCCGGUAAACGGCGGCCGUAACUAUAACGGUCCUAAGGUAGCGAAAUUCCUUGUCGGGUAAGUUCCGACCUGCACGAAUGGCGUAAUGAUGGCCAGGCUGUCUCCACCCGAGACUCAGUGAAAUUGAACUCGCUGUGAAGAUGCAGUGUACCCGCGGCAAGACGGAAAGACCCCGUGAACCUUUACUAUAGCUUGACACUGAACAUUGAGCCUUGAUGUGUAGGAUAGGUGGGAGGCUUUGAAGUGUGGACGCCAGUCUGCAUGGAGCCGACCUUGAAAUACCACCCUUUAAUGUUUGAUGUUCUAACGUGGACCCGUUACCCGGGUUGCGGACAGUGUCUGGUGGGUAGUUUGACUGGGGCGGUCUCCUCCUAAAGAGUAACGGAGGAGCACGAAGGUUGGCUAAUCCUGGUCGGACAUCAGGAGGUUAGUGCAAUGGCAUAAGCCAGCUUGACUGCGAGCGUGACGGCGCGAGCAGGUGCGAAAGCAGGUCAUAGUGAUCCGGUGGUUCUGAAUGGAAGGGCCAUCGCUCAACGGAUAAAAGGUACUCCGGGGAUAACAGGCUGAUACCGCCCAAGAGUUCAUAUCGACGGCGGUGUUUGGCACCUCGAUGUCGGCUCAUCACAUCCUGGGGCUGAAGUAGGUCCCAAGGGUAUGGCUGUUCGCCAUUUAAAGUGGUACGCGAGCUGGGUUUAGAACGUCGUGAGACAGUUCGGUCCCUAUCUGCCGUGGGCGCUGGAGAACUGAGGGGGGCUGCUCCUAGUACGAGAGGACCGGAGUGGACGCAUCACUGGUGUUCGGGUUGUCAUGCCAAUGGCACUGCCCGGUAGCUAAAUGCGGAAGAGAUAAGUGCUGAAAGCAUCUAAGCACGAAACUUGCCCCGA
rnacentral:rRNA from 1 species